GAUGAAGAACGUAGCAAAAUGCGAUAAGUAAUGUGAAUUGCGGAAUUCAGUGAAUCAUCGAAUCUUUGAACGCACAUUGCGCCCGCCAGUAUUCUGGCGGGCAUGCCUGUUCGAGCGUCAUUUCAACCCUCAAGCACAGCUUGGUGUUGGGACUCGCGUUAAUUCGCGUUCCCCAAAUUGAUUGGCGGUCACGUCGAGCUUCCAUAGCGUAGUAGUAAAACCCUCGUUACUGGUAAUCGUCGCGGCCACGCCGUUAAACCCCAACUUCUGAAUGUUGACCUCGGAUCAGGUAGGAAUACCCGCUGAACUUAAGCAUAUCAAUAAGCGGAGGA
rnacentral:misc_RNA from 1 species